UCAAAGUUUUAUCAUAGAAUAUAUAUAUAGUAUCUUUGAGAUAUCUUCUAUGGAGCAGAGAACCUCACGAACUCAUCUCGAUCAUGAUCUUCAACUAGGGUUUGCUGAGAAAACCUUAUUGCAACCGGCAAAAAACCGUGAAGGAGUUCUUCUCUACACCAAGCAAAAAGAACAGAUGUCGCGUUACAUUUAGUGCUAGUCGUCACAUUCAGAUAACCCACCUAACUCUAUUUUAGUAUGGAUCUGUAAUUUGUAUUCCAGUUGC
rnacentral:lncRNA from 1 species